GUAGGUGGCAAGCGUUGUCCGGAUUUAUUGGGUUUAAAGGGUGCGUAGGCGGUUCCAUAAGUCAGUGGUGAAAUACGGCAGCUCAACUGUCGAGGUGCCAUUGAUACUGUGGAACUUGAGUACUGAUGAGGUAGGCGGAAUGGACGGUGUAGCGGUGAAAUGCUUAGAGAUCGUCCAGAACACCGAUAGCGAAGGCAGCUUACUAAGGAGUAACUGACGCUGAGGCACGAAAGUGUGGGGAUCAAACAGGAUUAGAUACCCUGGUAGUCCACACUGUAAACGAUGAUUACUCGAUGUUGGCGAUACACAGCCAGCGUCUUAGCAAAAGCGAUAAGUAAUCCACCUGGGGAGUACGCCGGCAACGGUG
rnacentral:rRNA from 1 species